UCACAAUUACCAUAUUCCUAUGCGUAAUUGCAAUCCUAUUGACUUUAAACAGAACCCUUAUUCUAGCUCAUACGACAAAACAGUAUAUUCCUAUCUGUUUCACAAAAUAUGCAAUCCCCAUAUUCACAUGCUAUCAUGAUUUCAUCCAUAUUCAUAUGUUCAUUUCCAAUUCCAUACAAAUACUAACAUGAAGAUUAUCAGUCAUUCAUACAUACAAACUAACCAUGAUAGAUAAUCCAUAUGAUAUGCAAAACAAAUCUAACAUUUAGAUGUGCAACCAAGCGACAUAUUAAAAUCCGUUAGGAUCCCAUAAUGGAGUUUAGUUC
rnacentral:lncRNA from 1 species